rnacentral:rRNA from 1 species
CGCAAGCCUGAUCCAGCCAUGCCGCGUGAGUGAAGAAGGCCUUCGGGUUGUAAAGCUCUUUUCGGCCGGGAAGAAAUCGUGGUCUCUAACAUAGGCCAUGGAUGAACGGUACCGGACUAAGAACGCACCGGCUAACUACGUGCCAGCAGCCGCGGUAAUUACGUAGGGUGCGAGCGUUAAUCGGAAUUACUGGGCGUAAAGCGUGCGCAGGCGGUUUGCUAAGACAGGUGUGAAAUCCCCGGGCUUAACCUGGGAACUGCGCUUGUGACUGGCAGGCUAGAGUACGGCAGAGGGGGUGGAAUUCCUGGUGUAGCAGUGAAAUGCGUAGAGAUCAGGAGGAACACCGAUGGCGAAGGCAGCCCCCUGGGCCUGUACUGACGCUCAUGCACGAAAGCGUGGGGAGC